CCUACGGGAGGCAGCAGUGAGGAAUAUUGGUCAAUGGACGCAAGUCUGAACCAGCCACGCCGCGUGCAGGAAGACGGCUCUAUGAGUUGUAAACUGCUUUUGUACGAGGGUAAACGCAGAUACGCGUAUCUGUCUGAAAGUAUCGUACGAAUAAGGAUCGGCUAACUCCGUGCCAGUAGCCGCGGUAAUACGGAGGAUUCAAGCGUUAUCCGGAUUUAUUGGGUUUAAAGGGUGCGUAGGCGGUCGGAUAAGUUAGAGGUGAAAUCCCGAGGCUCAACUUCGGAAUUGCCUCUGAUACUGUUCGGCUAGAGAGUAGUUGCGGUAGGCGGAAUGUAUGGUGUAGCGGUGAAAUGCUUAGAGAUCAUACAGAACACCGAUUGCGAAGGCAGCUUACCAAGCUACUUCUGACGUUGAGGCACGAAAGCGUGGGGAGCAAACAGGAUUAGAUACCCUUGUAGUC
rnacentral:rRNA from 1 species